GGUAACGGUAGGGCAGGAGGCGGAAAAAUGAGGAGGGUUCGAGCGUAGAACGGAAUGACUGGGCGAAAAGUCGACAUAGUGGAGGACGGAGGUCAGGUGAGAAAGCCCCUGGCGCAAACUGGGAAUGGCUGUGGAGACUGCAUGUCAGGAGUACGGAAGAGGAAGGCGGAAUUCCCUGUGUAGCGUUGAAAUGCGUAGAUAUCGGGAGGAACAUCAGGGGCGAAGGCGGCCUUCUGGUCCAGUACUGACACUCAAGUGCGAAAGCGUGGGGAGCAAACAGGAUUAGAUACCCCGGUAGUC
rnacentral:rRNA from 1 species